rnacentral:misc_RNA from 1 species
UCAAACUUGGUCAUUUAGAGGAAGUAAAAGUCGUAACAAGGUUUCCGUAGGUGAACCUGCGGAAGGAUCAUUACAGAAUAAACUUGAUAAAUUGUUGCUGGUACUCUCGGGUGCAUGUGCACAUUUAUCAUUUUUAUAUUUCCACCAGUGCACCAUUUGUAGUUCUGGGAUAAAUCUGUUUUAUACAGCUAUAUGGCUGUAUUUUGGUUGGCUGCUGUGCUUUUUCAUGCCGGCUUCCUUCUGUGUAUUCCAGGACUAUGUUUUUACAUAUACACCAUGUAUGUUCAAGAAUGUCAUUUUGAGGCCCUUACAAGCCUUAUAUAAACAAUAUACAACUUUCAGCAACGGAUCUCUUGGCUCUCGCAUCGAUGAAGAACGCAGC